GUCGAAUUCAAGUUUAUUUAUUAAUUUCAUUACACAAUGGGCACAGUAAGUUCACAACCCAAAUACAAUAUCUAAUUGAAUGUGUUUGUUUGAUAUGUACAUGUUAGUGUUUGAUACUCUCAUGUUGUGUGUUUGUGGUGCAGGAGAGCUCACUGUAGUAGUGGAUGAUGCUGUAUAUGGACUGGAAGUGACUCAUCAGCAUUAAAGGAAGCCUGGAGAAGAUCUUAGUGCCUUACUAUGUUUAGUUGCUAUGGAAGAGUCACUGUGUGUAAACAUCAGCAGUAGUUUAACACAUUGUGGGUACAGAAGUCUUCACGCCCAGCUAUCUGACGCUAUCCCUUGGCUUCGUUCUGCAGGUGAACUUUACAGAGGGGAUUGACACGGGCUGCCUGCUGGGCGUCUGCUCUGGGGAAGACCAGGAAGACUUACUGAAGCAUUGGACUAUUGGCAAACAUAUCCCACAACAUCUGCUUUACAUCCGUACCUGCCGUUUAAGUUUCACUCAAAAUCACAGGUAUGACACAAUCAGGUAUAAUGUUAGCAGAUGACUCUGCACAAAAACAAUUAAUUU
ensembl:lncRNA